rnacentral:rRNA from 1 species
UACGUAGGGGGCAAGCGUUGUCCGGAAUUAUUGGGCGUAAAGAGCGCGUAGGCGGUCCGGUAAGUCGGCUGUGAAAGUCUAGGGCUCAACCCUGGAAGGCCGGUGGAAACUGUCGGGCUAGAGUCCGGAAGAGGCGAGUGGAAUUCCCGGUGUAGCGGUGAAAUGCGCAGAUAUCGGGAGGAACACCAAUGGCGAAGGCAGCUCGCUGGGACGGUACUGACGCUGAGACGCGAAAGCGUGGGGAGCAAACAGG